GACGAACGCUGGCGGCGUGCCUAAUACAUGCAAGUAGAACGCUGAAGGAGGAGCUUGCUUCUCCGGAUGAGUUGCGAACGGGUGAGUAACGCGUAGGUAACCUGCCUGGUAGCGGGGGAUAACUAUUGGAAACGAUAGCUAAUACCGCAUAAUAGCAGUUAUUGCAUGAUAACUGUUUGAAAGGUGCAAUUGCACCACUACCAGAUGGACCUGCGUUGUAUUAGCUAGUUGGUGGGGUAACGGCUCACCAAGGCGACGAUACAUAGCCGACCUGAGAGGGUGAUCGGCCACACUGGGACUGAGACACGGCCCAGACUCCUACGGGAGGCAGCAGUAGGGAAUCUUCGGCAAUGGACGGAAGUCUGACCGAGCAACGCCGCGUGAGUGAAGAAGGUUUUCGGAUCGUAAAGCUCUGUUGUAAGAGAAGAACGAGUGUGAGAGUGGAAAGUCACACUGUGACGUAUCUACAGAA
rnacentral:rRNA from 1 species